GCCAUGGGCCACUUCACAUCCAGGGGAAGGGGAUCGGCGUAGAGAGGGAAAGGGUCGCCUGCGAAGGAACCCCCCGGGAGGAAGAUGAGUCAAGCCGCCCAGGGGUCAUUCUCUGGACGGCCAGCAAGCCUCUGGGCAGGAGAGUGCAACUUCAUACUUUGCGUCACCGCACGACAAAGCCCUUGAGAGGCUGGGAGAAGCAAUUAGGAAAAAAAUGUCUAAAGAAGUUCCUCUGGGUACAAAACAACAAGAAAGACUGACAAAUACUGCUCCAGCAUAUCUGAAGAAGGGGGCUGGGAUGUCUCGGGACAUUCCAAUAUCUAGUUGUGGCCUCACACUCUUUACUCAGCUGCAUGCAUCCUUGGACCCAGCUCCUGGUCACCACCUGGAUUCGACGACCACUGACUCCCUCCCGGCAAGCACUCCAUCAUUGUAGCCUUCUCUAGUAAAUACUGGUAGCUCUCUUGUUUUUACUUACCUAUGGAUCUGCCUUCUAGGUAAACACUUGCCUUCUGUCAUAUCGUGGAAAUCUAGAAUGGCUUGAUGACCCCACUCUUACCCUGUGGAUAUCCCCCAACUCCCCACUCCCAGUGAUCUGGGUCACCUUAUUUCCUUUCCCCCAAAACAUGAAACAAAGCAAUGCCAUGUUCCUAUCAUCAUUCAUCAUUCUUGAAGGAGUUGCCCUCUGCUCUUUACCAUGUUGGAAAGCCACUAGAAAACUCACAUUUGACAACGAAUGAACUGUGCUAAGGAUAAAGACAUCACUUUUCCAAGAGUGCCUGCAUAUUAAUGAGAGCUUGAUCCUCAAAGAAAGCUCUCCACUGAUGAAAUUUUAGGAACUUAUGAUGAGUUUCAGGGAGGAUCUGAAUGGCAGAGAUGCUCUGAGAUGAAAAGGCAUUCCUAGUCUUCUUCAAUCACCCCAAAACACGGUAGCUUUUGGCCCACCCACAUCUAAGACUCACCCUGGGAUGAGAGAUCCAAUUCUGGGUUGAAUCACUGCUUCCAAACCCAAGAAUGCCCUUGGGUUUAGCAAAAGCCCUGGAGAAUCUAAUGACUGCUAACAGCCCAAUUACUGUACCUGUCUUCGUGAUAUUUUUUGGUGUACUCAACUC